GUGGUUUAAUUCGUAUGAUACGCGAGGAACCUUACCUGGGCUCGAACGUAAGAUGACUGUAGGUGAAAGCUUACAUCUCUUCGGAGCAUUUUACGAGGUGCUGCAUGGUUGUCGUCAGCUCGUGCCGUGAGGUGUCGGGUUAAGUCCCAUAACGAGCGCAACCCCUACCUUUAGUUGCCAUCAGGUAAUGCUGGGGACUCUAAAGGAACUGCCUACGCAAGUAGUGAGGAAGGCGGGGAUGACGUCAAAUCAGCACGGCCCUUACGUCCAGGGCUACACACGUGCUACAAUGGCCGAUACAGAGGGCAGCUACCUGGUGACAGGAUGCAAAUCUCCAAAGUCGGUCUCAGUUCGGAUCGGAGUCUGCAACCCGACUCCGUGAAGUUGGAAUCGCUAGUAAUCGUGGAUCAGCAUGCCACGGUGAAUACGUUCCCGGGCCUU
rnacentral:rRNA from 1 species